GGAAGAUCUCAACUCCCUUCUUCUCCUUCUUCAUUUUUCUAGAGUUUUCUUCUUCUUCUUAUUGAAGGUUGACUAACACCCCUCUCCAUCUCUCAAAAUUUUCUCUUGUGCCACCAUCUCUCUUUCUCUCCUUCGCGCCAACGCCACCCAAGUUGACCAACACGUGUCGAUCUACCUACUUGACUGUCAGAGAGCCUCAUCUCCCAUCAUCCAUGCAGAUCUAUACAUGGAAGUUUUGUGUCGUUGUUUCUCAACUUGCGUCGCGCCAACUUUUUGCACCAACCACAAGUCACUCUCUAAUGCCUCCCUUACAGCCAUCGUGCACAGUAACUCACCAGAGAUUAAGGCAGCCACUGAUUUUUGUUCGUUCUUCAUUUAGAUCCAUCACUUAGAGCCAACUUGAAAUAGGGAAAGCAUAUAAUCUAGGGGAUCAAAUCGUUGAUGGUAAGUGGCUCAUUUUCAAACAUUCUUUGUACAUAUACAUGUUAUUUUAUGAUAUCAUUUGGAAAUUACCAUGACUUAAACUUGUUAUGACUACGCUUUCGUUUAUGUUUAAACAACGUGUUUACUUAUCGUGAUUCAUAGCAAUAUUUAUGACUUGGAUUUUAUAAAAGUGGGUUUCAAGUUCCUAAUUUUAUUUAUACUUAAAUGGUGUGUUUAUUCGUCACAAUUUUAAAAUGCGUAUGACUUGAACUUUGUUAAAUCAUGUUUCAAGUUUAUUAUUCUACAUGGUUUGAAAUAUGAUUAAUCGAUGUUUAUGGUGAACAAGAAGGUGAUUUUCCAAAGGCUGCAUGAAUGUGUUUUCGUAGCACCACCUAUGGUUAUCAGGGGGUUUCAAGAUUGAAAGAGGUCGUGACCAGAGAUCUGAGAACCUGAGCCUAGGUGAGGACAUAGAUGGAGGAUGUGAUUUUGGCUUCAGGCCUAGUUUAACCCUUGGUGGGUGGCUCUAUGUGCACAUAGGAGCAGAUAUUCAUAUAGUUAUUGUGGUAGGUUCUAAGUAUGUGUGAGCUUCGUUUAGCUGCGUAUUUUCUUCUAGAUAUGGAUCACAUGUGAACUAUUUUGGGUCGUGUAUUUAGUAUUCUUUCAUGGUCAGGUCAAAUGGAGGAUGCUAUCGUGGGCGGUACUAAAUAUGCGUGAGCUAGUUUUGGCCGCAGGAUUCUUUGGUCAUGUGCGAGCUAUCCUUGGUCGUAUAUUUAGAUGUCUUUCCAUUGUUGGAUUUAGGCAUAGGUUUGUUGGCAUUACUUGGAAAUUAUUGUAAUACAUGAUUUUAACUUUUAAAUUAUUAUUUCGUUAUGGAUGUCACAUUUAAACA